ACUCAAAUGAAUUGACGGGGGCCCGCACAAGCGGUGGAGUAUGUGGUUUAAUUCGAUGCAACGCGAAGAACCUUACCUGGCCUUGACAUGUCGAGAAGUCUGCAGAGAUGCGGAUGUGCCUUCGGGAACUCGAACACAGGUGCUGCACGGCUGUCGUCAGCUCGUGUCGUGAGAUGUUGGGUUAAGUCCCGUAACGAGCGCAACCCUUGCCCCUAGUUACCAGCACGUUAUGGUGGGCACUCUAGGGGGACUGCCGGUGACAAACCGGAGGAAGGCGGGGAUGACGUCAAGUCAUCAUGGCCCUUACGGCCAGGGCUACACACGUACUACAAUGGGGCGUACAGAGGGUUGCCAACCAGCGAUGGGGAGCUAAUCUCAGAAAACGUCUCGUAGUCCAGAUUGGAGUCUGCAACUCGACUCCAUGAAGUCGGAAUCGCUAGUAAUCGCGGAUCAGAAUGCCGCGGUGAAUACGUUCCCGGGCCUUGUACACACCGCCCGU
rnacentral:rRNA from 1 species